rnacentral:lncRNA from 1 species
CUGGCUAAGAGGCUUUGUUUGUGGAUCUGCCACAUUUUGUAUGGAGUCAACUCUCUGCAUCUCGAUGAACUUCUUCUCGAUGUAUUCAUAUAUGAUGUGGAACUGCUGUUAGAAAAUAGGCUAAUUCACAUGCAUAGAUCGGUAUGAUUAUGCUAAUCAGAGUAAAAAUAGAUUUUAAAAAUUUUAAUCUAAUCUAAGUAUAUUGAUUCUAAAUUAUAA